GCUGCGAUGGCCGAGUGGUUAAGGCGUUGGAUUCGAAAUCCAAUGGAGUUUCCCCGCAUCAGGUUCGAACAAUGCUCGCAGCG